UACGUAGGUGGCAAGCGUUGUCCGGAUUUACUGGGCGUAAAGAGCGCGCAGGCGGUCGUUCAAGUCGCGUGUGAAAGCCCCCGGCUCAACUGGGGAGGGUCACGCGAUACUGAUCGACUCGAAGGCAGGAGAGGGUAGUGGAAUUCCCGGUGUAGUGGUGAAAUUCGUAGAUAUUCGGAAGAACACCAGUGGCGAAGGCGACUCACUGGACAUGUAUUGACGCUGAGGUACGAAAGCGUGGGGAGCAAACAGG
rnacentral:rRNA from 1 species